GAUGAACGCUGGCGGCGUGCCUAAUACAUGCAAGUCGAGCGAACAGAUGAGGAGCUUGCUCCUCUGACGUUAGCGGCGGACGGGUGAGUAACACGUGGAUAACCUACCUAUAAGACUGGGAUAACUUCGGGAAACCGGAGCUAAUACCGGAUAACAUUUUGAACCGCAUGGUUCUAUAGUGAAAGAUGGUUUUGCUGUCACUUAUAGAUGGAUCCGCGCCGCAUUAGCUAGUUGGUAAGGUAACGGCUUACCAAGGCAACGAUACGUAGCCGACCUGAGAGGGUGAUCGGCCACACUGGAACUGAGACACGGUCCAGACUCCUACGGGAGGCAGCAGUAGGGAAUCUUCCGCAAUGGGCGAAAGCCUGACGGAGCAACGCCGCGUGAGUGAUGAAGGUCUUCGGAUCGUAAAACUCUGUUAUUAGGGAAGAACAAAUGUGUAAGUAACUAUGCACGUCUUGACGGUACCUAAUCAGAAAGCCACGGCUAACUACGUG
rnacentral:rRNA from 1 species